UACGGGGGGGGUAAGCGUUGUUCGGAAUUACUGGGCGUAAAGGGCUCGUAGGCGGCCAACUAAGUCGGACGUGAAAUCCCUCAGCUUAACUGGGGAACUGCGUCCGAUACUGGAUGGCUUGGAUUUGGGAGAGGGAUGCGGAAUUCCGGGUGUAGCGGUGGAAUGCGUAGAGAUCCGGAAGAACACCGGAGGCGAAGGCGGCUUGCUGGGCUCGGUCUGACGCUGAGGCGCGAAAGCGUGGGGAGCGAACAGG
rnacentral:rRNA from 1 species